rnacentral:misc_RNA from 1 species
GCAGAGCCUAAAGCUCUCUAAAACCAUGCGACGAACGUAUACCAGUUGCUUCGGCGGCCGGCUCCCUGCCUGGGACCCCCGCCUCGGAGUAAGGGCACCGCCGUAAACUCUGUAUUAUAGUGUAUCUCUGAGUAUAUCAAUAAGUUAA